UCGGAAGGCGCGGCUGGAUCACCUCCUUU
rnacentral:rRNA from 1 species